CCUACGGGUGGCUGCAGUCGAGAAUCAUUCACAAUGGGGGAAACCCUGAUGGUGCGACGCCGCGUGGGGGAAUGAAGCUCUUCGGAUUGUAAACUUCUGUCAUGUGGGAGCAAAUUAAAAAGAUAGUACCCAAAGAGGAAGAGCCGGCUAACUCUGUGCCAGCAGCCGCGGUAAUACCGAAGUCUUAAGCGUUGUUCGGAAUCACUUGGCUUAAAGGGUGCGUAGGCUGUUUCGUAAGUCGCGUGUGAACGGCGCGGGGUCAACCCGCGGAGGGCAGAUGACACUGCGAGACUAGAGUAAGGGAGAGGUAUGCGGAAUUCGCGGUGUAGCGGUGAAAUGCGUAGAUAUCGAGAGGAACUCUGAUGGCGAAGGCGGGUUCCUGGAGAUUAACUGACGCUGAGGCACGAAGGCGAGGGGAGCGAAAGGGAUUAGAUACCCUAGUAGUC
rnacentral:rRNA from 1 species